AGAAAGAGAGAGAUGUUAAAUCAUGAAGAAUCAUUUUGCUUGGUAUUUUGAGAAAAAAAAAAGUACUACUGGUCAAUACAGUUCAAUACUAUAAAGAUGGUACCAUCAGUCCUGCAACUGGUUCUGUUAUUUAAAAGUUAAAACUAUUGGGCCUACUCUCAUUCAUGGGUUCCAACAUUAUAGUUGCUCCUAUUAUUAUUUAUUUACUAUGCUCAGGAUGUUUCCUAAUUGAUCCAAAAUUUCUAGUUAAUAGAUUGUGAUGUAGUUUUUAGAUAGAAAAAUGAGAAGCAACAAUUUUAUCUCCUUAUCCUGAUUUGUUGAAAACCUCUCCUUGUCAUGAUGGUUAAAGAUAGGGGAAACAUCAUCUGGAGUUUCUCAAUAUCUGCACCCUUGUUGCUUGCUAAUUUGUUGAUCACUCAGAGUAGUUUUCUUUACUUGUCUUUUCAAGUUGUGAUGAUUGCUUUCAGGCUUAUUGAGA
rnacentral:misc_RNA from 1 species